GUGGUGGCUCAGUGGUAGAGCGCCUGCCUCGCACGUGAAUCCCUGAGUUCGAUUCUCAGUCCCACA
rnacentral:tRNA from 1 species